rnacentral:lncRNA from 1 species
UUCUCAUGCUCUUCUAAGAGAAUCUUCUCUAUCUCUCUUCAUAAUCCGUCUGUAUAUUCUUACAAUGACAAAAGGAAAUAUUUAAUACAGAAGUAACCAAACUAUACAUAAAAAAUGAAGAAAAGAGUGCUUUAAUACUUACAUUGAAGGAAGCUUCUAGAAUGUUCUUGCUGAAUCGCAGAUAAGAUAGAUUGUUGGUUCUGAUUUCCAGACCAAUAAGAAAGACUGUUGAAAAUGACAAAAAAUAAUUAUAAUAUCAAUAGAAUUUUUGUCGUAAAUUAUGAUUAAAAAC